GCGGGAGUAGCUCAGUUGGUAGAGCACGACCUUGCCAAGGUCGGGGUCGCGAGUUCGAGUCUCGUCUCCCGCUC
rnacentral:tRNA from 2 species